GGGAAACUGCGUACGGCUCAUUACACCAGCCUUAAUUUACUUGACCUUGACAACCUACUUGGAUAACUGUGGUAAUUCUAGAGCUAAUACAUGCACCAAAGCUCCGAUCCUCGCGGAGAGGAGCGCAUUUGUUCGCCACAAAACCAAGCGCCCAUCUGGGCGUCCAGUGCUGAACCAGAACAACUCAGCUGAUCGCACGGUCUUGUACCGGCGACGUGUCUUUCAAGUGUCUGCCUUAUCAACUUUCGAUGGUAGUGUACCUGACUACCAUGGUUGUGACGGGUAACGGAGGAUAAGGGUUCGACUCCGGAGAAGGGGCCUGAGAAAUGGCCACUACGUCUAAGGAUGGCAGCAGGCGCGCAAAUUACCCACUCUCAACGCGAGGAGGUAGUGACGAGAAAUAACGAGACCGUUCUCAUACGAGGCCGGUUAUUGGAAUGGGUACAAUUUAAACCCUUUAACGAGUAUCUAUGAGAGGGCAAGUCUGGUGCCAGCAGCCGCGGUAAUUCCAGCUCUCAAAA
rnacentral:rRNA from 1 species